rnacentral:rRNA from 1 species
UACGUAGGUGGCAAGCGUUGUCCGGAAUUAUUGGGCGUAAAGCGCGCGCAGGUGGUUUCUUAAGUCUGAUGUGAAAGCCCACGGCUCAACCGUGGAGGGUCAUUGGAAACUGGGGAACUUGAGUGCAGAAGAGGAAAGUGGAAUUCCAAGUGUAGCGGUGAAAUGCGUAGAGAUUUGGAGGAACACCAGUGGCGAAGGCGACUUACUGGACUGUAACUGACGCUGAGGCAUGAAAGCGUGGGGAGCAAACAGG